rnacentral:misc_RNA from 1 species
AAUUUUUAUUUUAAACUCAACAUUGGGUAAAAAAGAGAAUUCGGAGUUCGAGUUUACCUACACCAAUUCUGACACUUGGAACGCGUCUAGAGUAUCUAAAAAUGGUGGAAAGUACUGUAAUAUUGACCCACUUCCAAAGUGGGUCUGGCAGUCUGCGUAUCUAACCCGAAAUUGCUAUCUCGGUUACUGGUAAAAUUUCUUCAAAAUGAAAAU